UCCCUCUUAGCUCAGUUGGUAGAGCGCGUCACUAGUAUCACGAACCAAAAUUGCGCAAUGACGAGGUCAGUCGUUCGAGUCGUCUAGAGGGAA